rnacentral:rRNA from 1 species
AUUGAACGCUGGCGGCAGGCCUAACACAUGCAAGUCGAGCGGAUGAAGGGAGCUUGCUCCUGGAUUCAGCGGCGGACGGGUGAGUAAUGCCUAGGAAUCUGCCUGGUAGUGGGGAUAACGUCCGGAAACGGGCGCUAAUACCGCAUACGUCCUGAGGGAGAAAGUGGGGGAUCUUCGGACCUCACGCUAUCAGAUGAGCCUAGGUCGGAUUAGCUAGUUGGUGGGGUAAAGGCCUACCAAGGCGACGAUCCGUAACUGGUCUGAGAGGAUGAUCAGUCACACUGGAACUGAGACACGGUCCAGACUCCUACGGGAGGCAGCAGUGGGGAAUAUUGGACAAGGGGCGAAAGCCUGAUCCAGCCAUGCCGCGUGUGUGAAGAAGGUCUGCGGAUUGUAAAGCACUUUAAGUUGGGAGGAAGGGCAGUAAGUUAAGACCUGGCUGUUUGGACGUGACCAACAGAAGAAGCACCGGCGAACUGCGU